rnacentral:rRNA from 1 species
GACAGAGGGGGCAAGCGUUGCUCGGAAUCACUGGGCGUAAAGGGCGCGUAGGCGGGAUGGCAAGUCGGUCGUGAAAUCCUAGGGCUUAACCCUGGGCUUGCAGUGGAUACGGGCAGACUAGAGGUAGGUAGGGGAGAAUGGAAUUCCUGGUGUAGCGGUGAAAUGCGCAGAUAUCAGGAGGAACACCGGUGGCGAAGGCGGUUCUCUGGGCCUUACCUGACACUGAGGAGCGAAAGCGUGGGGAGCGAACAGG